AGUAGAGUAAGAGAGCUUCCUUCAGCCCACUCAUGGAUGGAAAAAAGGGGUAUUGAAUUAUCUGCCGACUCAUUCAUUCAAACACUGAGUAGAACAAACAAGGAAUGUACAACACGCAUGCGUACAGGGGGUGCAAGUGCAAGUGCAAGUGCAAGUGCUACUGUGAUUGCGUGAAUGAUGCGGGAGAUGAUUUCAUCCUUGUCUCUCCGUGCUUGGACUGAAGGGAGCUCCCUUUCUCUAUUCC
rfam:Spinacia oleracea cultivar SynViroflay scaffold22748.con0008.1, whole genome shotgun sequence.